rnacentral:rRNA from 1 species
CAUUAGUUAGUUGGUGGGGUAAAGGCCUACCAAGACAAUGAUGCAUAGCCGAGUUGAGAGACUGAUCGGCCACAUUGGGACUGAGACACGGCCCAAAUUCCUACGGGAGGCUGCAGUAGGGAAUCUUCCACAAUGGGCGAAAGCCUGAUGGAGCAACGCCGCGUGUGUGAUGAAGGCUUUCGGGUCGUAAAGCACUGUUGUAUGGGAAGAAAAGUUAAGGUAGGGAAUGACCUUAGCCUGACGGUACCAUACCAGAAAGGGACGGCUAAAUACGUGCCAGCAGCCGCGGUAAUACGUAUGUCCCGAGCGUUAUCCGGAUUUAUUGGGCGUAAAGCGAGCGCAGACGGUUGGUUAAGUCUGAUGUGAAAGCCCGGAGCUCAACUCCGGAAAGGCAUUGGAAACUGGUUAACUUGAGUGCAGUAGAGGUAAGUGGAACUCCAUGUGUAGCGGUGGAAUGCGUAGAUAUAUGGAAGAACACCAGCGGCGAAGGCGGCUUACUGGACUGUAACUGACGUUGAGGCUCGAAAGUGUGGGUAGCAAACAGGAUUAGAUACCCUGGUAGUCCACACCGUAAACGAUGAACACUAGGUGUUAGGAGGUUUCCGCCUCUUAGUGCCGAAGCUAACGCAUUAAGUGUUCCGCCUGGGGAGUACGACCGCAAGGUUGAAACUCAAAGGAAUUGACGGGGACCCGCACAAGCGGUGGAGCAUGUGGUUUAAUUCGAAGCAACGCGAAGAACCUUACCAGGUCUUGACAUCCUUUGAAGCUUUUAGAAAUAGAAGUGUUCUCUUCGGAGACAAAGUGACAGGUGGUGCAUGGUCGUCGUCAGCUCGUGUCGUGAGAUGUUGGGUUAAGUCCCGCAACGAGCGCAACCCUUAUUGUUAGUUGCCAGCAUUCAGAUGGGCACUCUAGCGAGACUGCCGGUGACAAACCGGAGGAAGGCGGGGACGACGUCAGAUCAUCAUGCCCCUUAUGACCUGGGCUACACACGUGCUACAAUGGCGUAUACAACGAGUUGCCAACCUGCGAAGGUGAGCUAAUCUCUUAAAGUACGUCUCAGUUCGGACUGCAGUCUGCAACUCGACUGCACGAAGUCGGAAUCGCUAGUAAUCGCGGAUCAGCACGCCGCGGUGAAUACGUUCCCGGGUCUUGUACACACCGCCCGUCACACCAUGGAAGUUUGUAAUGCCCAAAGCCGGUGGCCUAACCGUAAGGAGGGAACC